rnacentral:lncRNA from 1 species
UGGUGACAUUUGAAAGAGACAUAUUGGACAGAAAUGACAUACGUGAAAGCUAAGAUACAAUAUAUUUAAUUUUCUAAGAAUUCAGUUCAAGGUAGUCUGCCUGGUUUCUCAAGUUCUGCAUGUUUCUUCAGUAGACUAAAUAAUGAUAAGGAAGCUGAGAUGUAGAGCUGAAGUGUCUUGCCCAAGAUCAUUUGUCUACUGCAGCUCCUGUUCCACUUCCUUUCUUGUACUGCUGAACAUCCAGAUAGAGGCAUUGACAUGCAUGGUUUCCAACUGAUCACUUCCUACUCCCUUAAGGACCUCCUGUCAGGCAGCAUUGAUGAGAAGACAAAAAAGCUCUCUGGCUGGAGCCACUCUCUAUGUGGAAUUUGCAUGUUCUCCCCAUGCCUGCACUGAUAUUCUCCCACAUCCCAAAGCUGUGCACAGAUUUUUUUUGCUAAUUUCUUUAAUAUCAGAAGACAGCUGGAUUCUCAUUUCUGCUUCUGCAUUCAGUCUAUUGUGAUAUAGCAUAUCAUGUAACUUCUGAAAAACUUCACUGUACACAGAUGCUGACCUCACAGACUCCCUGAAAGGAUCUCCAUGACCUCUAUGGUUCCUUAGACUGCACUUUGAGAACUAUUGACGUACAGGGAAAAAUGCUCUUGGUGUUCCAGUUAAGCACAGAAUAAAAUCUGGACUGUGUCAGUUUGUAAAGAUCUUAUGUCUACUUGGUCAUCAGCCAAGAAGGGAUUCCGAAGAUAGAAGAGGAGGCAUCAACACCGUGAACAUCAUGGCUGAGUUAUUUUGUGAGAGGGAUAAGCCUAAAGUAAAAACCUUGGAUUUGCCUCUGUCCUUGAACAUGCUAUCUGGAAAGAGUUUUCUUAAAAGUAUUGUUGUGAACACAUCCAUUUUCCCAGUAUAGUUGAAUGCAGGGUUUAAUAAAUGGAAUGAAUCUAG